GCCCAGGUGAUGAAACGGAAAACAUGCAACACUUAAAAUGUUGUGGGCGUAAGCCCUUGUGGGUUCGAUUCCCACCCUGGGCACCA
rnacentral:tRNA from 1 species